CAGCCGCCGCGGUAAUACGUAGGGGGCGAGCGUUGUCCGGAAUUAUUGGGCGUAAAGAGCGCGCAGGCGGCCAUUUAAGUCUACCGUGAAAGCUUACGGCUCAACCGUAACGGGCCGGUGGAUACUGGAUGGCUUGAGGGCAGGAGAGGAAAGUGGAAUUCCCAGUGUAGCGGUGAAAUGCGUAGAGAUUGGGAGGAACACCAGUGGCGAAGGCGACUUUCUGGACUGUUACUGACGCUGAGGCGCGAAAGCUGGGGGAGUGAACGGGAUUAGAUACCCCGGUAAUCCCAGCCGUAAACGAUGGGUACUAGGUGUAGGAGGUAUCGACCCCUUCUGUGCCGGAGUUAACGCAAUAAGUACCCCGCCUGGGGAGUACGGUCGCAAGACUGAAACUCAAAGGAAUUGACGGGGGCCCGCACAAGCGGUGGAGCAUGUGGUUUAAUUCGACGCAACGCGAAGAACCUUACCAGGGCUUGACAUCGUACGCAAAGCUUAGAGAUAAGCUCCUUUCUUCGGAAACGUACAGACAGGUGGUGCAUGGCC
rnacentral:rRNA from 1 species